GUGGGGAAUAUUGGGCAAUGGGGGAAACCCUGACCCAGCAACGCCGCGUGAAGGAAGAAGGCUUUCGGGUUGUAAACUUCUUUUACCAGGGACGAAGAAAGUGACGGUACCUGGAGAAAAAGCCACGGCUAACUACGUGCCAGCAGCCGCGGUAAUACGUAGGUGGCAAGCGUUGUCCGGAUUUACUGGGUGUAAAGGGCGUGUAGGCGGAGAUGCAAGUCAGGAGUGAAAUCUGGGGGCUCAACCCCCAAACUGCUUUUGAAACUGUAUCCCUUGAGUAUCGGAGAGGCAGGCGGAAUUCCUAGUGUAGCGGUGAAAUGCGUAGAUAUUAGGAAGAACACCAGUGGCGAAGGCGGCCUGCUGGACGACAACUGACGCUGAGGCGCGAAAGCGUGGGGAGCAAACAGGA
rnacentral:rRNA from 1 species